GUCCGUUGCUUUUUGUCCGUUUUGCUUUUUAGCUCACCUGGACCAUAGGACUAAGUGAGCUUUUCUCAUUUUCUCAUUAUUCGUCGUCGUCAUUAAUUUUUACAAAAAUCUUCUCUUCUGAAACUACUGGCAAAAUUAAAGCAAACAUGGCCAAAAUCAUCCUUAGGGUAUUUAGUUUCAAAAAAAGUAUCCGAUGACCCCGCCCAAUAAUUAAGAUGGCCGCAAUGUCUAAAAGAAGAGCAUCGCAUAAAAUGUAGAUUUUGGCUUAAUUAUCUG
rnacentral:lncRNA from 1 species